rnacentral:rRNA from 1 species
UACAGAGGGGGCUAGCGUUGUUCGGAAUUACUGGGCGUAAAGCGCACGUAGGCGGCUUUGUAAGUUAGAGGUGAAAGCCCGGGGCUCAACCCCGGAACUGCCUUUAAGACUGCAUCGCUUGAAUCCAGGAGAGGUGAGUGGAAUUCCGAGUGUAGAGGUGAAAUUCGUAGAUAUUCGGAAGAACACCAGUGGCGAAGGCGGCUCACUGGCCUGGUAUUGACGCUGAGGUGCAAAAGCGUGGGGAGCAAACAGG